rnacentral:rRNA from 1 species
GACGAACGCUGGCGGCGUGCUUAACACAUGCAAGUCGAGCGGUAAGGCCCUUUCGGGGGUACGACGAGCGGCGAACGGGUGAGUAACACGUGGGUGACCUGCCCUCAGCUCUGGGAUAAGCCUGGGAAACUGGGUCUAAUACCGGAUAUGACUCCAUGACGCAUGUUGUGGGGUGGAAAGCCUUGUGCGGCUGAGGAUGGGCCCGCGGCCUAUCAGCUUGUUGGGGGGGUGA